rnacentral:rRNA from 1 species
GACAGAGGGUGCAAACGUUGCUCGGAAUCACUGGGCGUAAAGGGCGUGUAGGCGGGCAGGUAAGUCCGUGGUGAAAUCUCUGAGCUUAACUCAGAAACUGCCAUGGAUACUAUUUGUCUUGAAUGUUGUGGAGGUAAGCGGAAUAUGUCAUGUAGCGGUGAAAUGCUUAGAUAUGACAUAGAACACCCAUUGCGAAGGCAGCUUACUACAACAAAUAUUGACGCUGAGGCACGAAAGCGUGGGGAUCAAACAGG